GAGUGCGUGCGUGUGCUUGCUUAUCUUAUAGAUUCUCGUUUGCUUGAGCAGACUUCAGUUUGAAACUGAAACUCUGCGAGUAAGUAAAUUUUACCGCGCGUAAAAUUCUGAUAUCUCCAUCGACUAUACUCGCGUAAAUUGAAGCAAACCUAAAGCAGCCGCUGCAGAGGAAGGCACACUGAAUUCAUAUUUACGAGUUCAUGGCUACGAUAGCAUUUCGUAAUUGGUCACAAAAACGAUAAUCGAAGAAACACAAAUAACUCAGCUCCAACAAAAAACGUCGAAUAUACGCAAAAAUCGAACAACUAUAUAUAGAAAAGCAAUUUAUUUCGCAAAAAACACAAUGAACAAAAACCAUAAAAUAUAUAAGUAAAUAAAGCUAACGAAAGUCAACAUAACAAAUAAACAGAAACAGAAAAGCGAACUCUCCAACGCACACUUUUUCUGCUGUUGCGCUUCGUUACGUGCCUACAAAUGUAAAAGUGCAUAUAUGAGUAAGACAGCAUCUUGUAAGCAGUAAAUACAUACAUAUAUACACAUCGUGUUCAGCGCGUCCUUCCCAAACUCGCUGCAAUUCAACCAGUGGCCUUGCUCCGUUGUACUCGCACAACGUGCAUCCUUUCACAUCGUUUAAGACACAAACUAUCAAUCGACAGAUCAAAUCGAUGAUUAUAUUUGUUCAUUUGAAGGAAUUGGUGAUUUAACAAUGGACUCAUUAGCAAUGUUCAUAUUUAUUUGGGCUGUAUUGGCCCUCUUCUUAGUAUGGCUGUGUAAAUUUUUAUACAAUAAAUAUGUGGUAAAUAACAACAAAACGCCGACAAGUCAGAGCAAUAGUCGGCAGAGCAGUGUGGCGCCCGGCGCUGGCAGCACAUCGAAAACUGAAGUGAUCAAACGCCUAUCCGAGCCGAGAGAAGUGAUGGCAAGCAAAGCGGAUUUUAAGGACUUAGCUGCCAAACCAGGUGGUGCUGCACGCGGUCGCGCGCCCAGUGGAGGUGCUGGGGCUGCAGCUGGUGGUGCUGGCGCACGACGCCGCAUGGUGCGACAGGGCUCAACUGGACCAGAAAGCCGCAAGAAACGUUAUGUGCCGCCACCGUCCAAUGUUGUUGGACCUGAAACAACUUCCGUUACUUGGACCAGUCAAGUGUUCCGUUGGCUUUACAGCGAUCUUGUGAUUGUCAACGAAUUGCUAACAUCUUGGGUUAUAGCCUUAAAUGAAACUCUGAAAAAAUCGAUGGAAGAGCAUGGCGUCGCAGUGGAGGUGGUGCGUGUGCUGCCUGACAGUCCACCACCCAGCUUGAACAAUAUAUUUUGCAAUUGUGAUGAAACAAAUCCAUCGAAUAUGCUGAUCACCUUUGAUUGUGACGCACAGCCGGUGCUGCAGGUGAAGACGUUCCGCCAGAAGGCCGGCAAGGUUGACACCUCACAUUACAAAGUGACCAUCUCCCGCUUCCGUGCACGUAUGGCUACCGCCAUGAACUACAACACACUCAAGGGCGAGAUGAAGGUGGAUGGCUAUCCCGAUAUCCGCAUUGCCAUGAAUAGUGUGGGCGCCAUAAAGCCAAUGGAUCAAGAUGAACAGCAGCUGCAAGGUGUCAUUAGUGACAUAAUCACCGCCACUCUGCGGGACACCGUCUAUCCAGUCGACUUUUCGGUCUACGCAACCUGCCCUCGUGCCGAAGUCGACCCGCUUGACAUGCCUCAAAACUUGGAGGGUUCUAAUUUGUCAGGUCUGCAGCCUAUGAUAUCUGGUCGUCGUUUGCUCGUAAAAAUUGUGAAAGGUGAAGGGCUGGCGUCAGCCAAGGAUCCCUACGUUGUGGUGGAAAUGGACGAACCUGCACAAAAGAAUCAAACCGGCGCUCGGCAGGGUGCCACGCCCUAUUGGGAUGAACAUUUCCUAUUUGAAUUAUCUCCACAAUCAGCUGAGAUUUUAUUCGAAGUAUAUGAUCGGCCUGCUAAUGGCGUCGAAUCGGCCAAAUUCCUCGGUUUGGGUUUGGUGGGCAUUGAUGAGCUGGCCGUCGGCCCUGCAUCCACACAAGUGCUGACACUGCAGCCGCGUCCGUAUGAGACGAACCCGGUGAGUGGCACCAUCACUGUGGACUUUGUGUUCAUUGAAGGUGCAGAAAUACCCGCUGGACCCAAACCGUACAAAUUGAAAGAGGCUUUGAAGAUCAGCACGCCGAUCAUUAAUGAGCACAUGAAGAACGGCGCCGGUUUGGCUGAUGCGGCUGUGCGUGCCUUGCAGGAUGGCGCACUCUCCACAACCGGACAGCCCAGCAAGAGUACACUAAUCAUACAUAGCGUACAAAGGAACCAAAACAAUUCAAAUGCAUUUAAGGUUGAAGUUAACAAGGACGGCAGAAUCGAAGUUAAAGAAUCACCACAAGAAGAACUUGACGGUGCUGUGACACAAUUUUUAGAAUCCCCAUUAAACGACAAUACGAGCGAAUCGUUGCCCACUGCCAAUACGACAGCGGAUAUCGAGCAAAUACAACAGGAAAUUUCGGUGGCGACGGACAUAACCGCCAGCCCCACAGACUCAUGUCCACCAAACGAUGUCUCUUUAGAUGAAUCGGGUGUGGCAUCAGGUAACAGCAGCGCUUUGGUUGCAUCCAGCGCCGAGUUUGGCCAACCGAAUGCCGCUUCCUCACCACAGGCCCACAAUGGCUACUCACCCUACAAUGGCAACUCGGCUACAAACGGUUCACAGAGUUAUGGAUACCAAAGCAAUAGUUUGCCUCGCAAUGGUGCUGCGACUAGUACACCAUUAAACAGCGCUGAUCUGGACGAAAGAGGACGGAGUAAGAAACGAAAUUUCUUUGGAACAUUAAAAAAACGUUUAAGUCGAUCUAAAACACGAACCCAUUCGGCUGAUCGUGGCGCUUUGACGCCGUCCCACAAUAAUAACGGUACCACCCCAACAGGAACACUUAACGGUGAUUCACGUUCAUUAUCUGUCGAUCGUGCUGUAUUGUCUAAAAGCAAUUCACUUGGUAAUUACCAUUCACCCACCUCUCCAACCUCUUGGUUCUUGAUCUAACACUUGUGUGAACCUAAUUUUCACUCGCUCUCUUUCAUAAUGCUUCUUAACUGUUUGUGUGUGGAAAAAUUGUUUCUAGUUUAAGCGCCGUUAUUGGAUUUACUAUUCUUUACAUUAUUCUAUUUUUACUAUAAAAGCUUUCUUUACGUUUGGCCAAACUUUUUUUUAUAAAUCUUUGGUCGAAAACAUUUGUUUACAACGUUGAAAUGCUUUUUUAUUUUUGUUUUAUUUUAUUAUUUAUUAUUUUUAAUUGCUUAACUCAAUUUUUAGACAAGUUUUUGAAAGUGCGGAUUUCAAUUUUAAAAAUGCACUGAUUAUUAAGCUAUUUAAAUUUUAUUUCUGUGUAAAUUUUUUAUUGCCAUUUUUUAUAGUUAUUUGUGUAAUCAAAACCACUUAUAACUGCACUAUGUAGUCUACCUUGUUUUGUCUAUCUCUGUCUCUUUACCACUAACCUAACACUCUACUGUUUAUGUAUUUGUCUUUAUUUUCCAAACACACUCCUUUUAUCGAACCUCUUUACCAUGAAAACUAUGCUCCUUCAACGCCGAAAAUGUGAAUUGUAUGUAUGUAUGCUCACUUAAUUAAUAUUAUAUUUAUGUAUACCUGUGUAAUACUAAAAUAUGCAUAUCAUUAUGAUAUACAAACGCAAACAUAUAUACGAGUACAUCUGCAUAUCAAUUUUGUACUAAAACAACAUUUUAACUGUCAAAUCACACUCAUUAUUUCCUCCCUCUUCCUUUAAUUUGGAUUCGCGUCAAAAUUUUCAAUAUUUAAAUUUAACGCUUGAUUUUAUUAAUUUUAAAAUACUGUUAUUGCAUUGAAUUGUGCAUAAUCAAUCCAUAUAUGUCAUUAAUUUAAUUUUACUCUCUUUUAAUUUCAUAUGUUUCCAUCUUAUGAUUUUGGGCGAUUUUAUUUUAAUACAAAUAAAAAAAAAACGAAAAAAAAAUAUCAAAAUGGGAAAAACUGUUCACUUUUGGAUAAUCGAACUCCUUCACCCACCGCUAUAUAUUACUACCACUUCUUGUGUUACUUAAUAAUAUUUUUGCUGAAAAAAUGGGAACACCUUGAAAAUAUAUUUGGUGAAAUGUGUUUUAUCGUAAAUGAUGAGUAACAAUUGAAACUAAACUUAUAAUUUCGUUUCGGUACUUCAAAACUGCACGCUUUUCUUAUUUUUAUUUUCGUAAAAAAACGAAACUAUUCAAACAACACAAAACAACGAAAAUACUCAGGCUUACGCGCUGGUUCAUCACGACUUGAUCACUCAAGGCAAUCUUCAAUUUCAGAAUCGUCCGCAAUCUCAGGUUUCUCGUCGGCCAGCAACAAAACGUACGUACAUGAAGCAUCCACGCUGGUGCUGGAGACGAUCGAGAAUGGUGUGAAGCGGCAUUUCAUUGUGCCGCUGGCAAUCGCACAACGGCCCAGGUGGCGUCGCAAAGGCACAAAACUGCACAUUUAUAAUGACCACACCUUUAUCGCCAAACAUUUGAGCGGUGGCGGCCUGCAAUGCCAAGUCUGCAUGAAGUCCAUCCCGCGGCGACCGGGCAAGCAGGGGUACGAAUGUCGGGACUGCAAUUUGAUCUGCCACAAACAAUGCCACAUACGCGCACCACAGGCGUGUCCGAAUCCUACAGUGCUUUCAAUGGAAUUGACCUCAUUUCCGGUACUCACAGAACAAGAUAUACUCUAGUCAACUUUAUAUUUGAAUUUCUAGUGCUCAUAAGUUUUAUUGUCAUAAAAACUUUGAAUUUUUCAUUAAAAUAUAUAUUGAUUGAAAUGUUUUUAAUUUAUGCGAAACACUCCGGAAAUAUUUUCUUUCAAAAUUCAUAAUUUAUAAAUAUCUUUCAUUUGCUUAAUUAUGUGCAUAAACAACAAAGACAAUAAUCAAAGUUAGAUAAGUUAAAUUUUGAGCUUUUUACGGCUUUUACGAAAUUGUUUCUAAACUUUCAACCCGCACCGCUUUCGCAUUGAAAAUUAACUGUACGCAAUUUUUGUACUUUUACGCUUCAACCGCUUUUUAAAUGCCGUUACUUUAAUAAUGUUAAUAAGAAGUCACUAUUCAUAUCGGUUAGACGAAAAAUAAAUUAUAUGUUACUUUUAUCCAAACAUUUUGAAGUUCUUAACAAAUAUCUAAAAUUAUUUACAUAUGUAUGUAUGUACGUGACUUAUAAUUUUUUCUGUAACCUUUAGUUUGAUUUUUAUAUAUAUCAUAUCUUUUAUCUUAUUUAUUGUAUAUCAUAUCGUCAUACUAAUUCUGCUAUGUCAACUAAAUCACUGACAUAAGGUCAAUAAUCACACUCAUCUAAAACAUACUUUCGAAAUUUCAAGUAAAUGGUUAAAAUAUACAUAUUUAUGGCAUAUAUCAUCUGCUGUCCAUACGCUUAUCAUUUAACUGUUUAUACAACCCAAACUAAUGACAAACCGCACUUCCCACUUGCCCGCUAUUAACACAGGACGAUGACUUCUAAUGAAAUAGAGCUAAUAACGCCAGCAAUUCCACGUUUAAGUAACCAAUAUAUAAACAGAAACAAGUUUGGAAACAAUUUUGUAAUCAUUCACUGUUGUCAGCUUUAUACACGUGCUUUUCGUGCAAGACAAGUUGCAAUAUACACAUACAUACAUGUAUUCAUGAGUUUUGAACUCAAAAUCGUAAAAAAGUUGCUUAGAAGCUAUAAUCUUCAAAAAUCAAGCUGUAUUCAAUACUCAGAAGUCCAUAAAAGUCAAUAAGGUACUAAAUAUUUCGGCACCUUGUUUCAGAGAUCGAAACUUAAUUCUGCCGCUGCGGAUCGGAGUAUAAGGAAGUUAUGAAAGCGAAUAUAAUGCACAAACAUCCACAACCAUCUAUGAUCCGUCACAAUAGCCUUGGCGCAACAAAUCGUAUCAGUACCGCAGAAAGAAAGGAAAUAAUUCAGACUCAAACUUAAUCACAAAGAUUCCGAGGGACCGGCACAGCGGUUACAAAAACUUAACCUUUCAUUUUGCUGUUAUUUCAUGUAAAACUUCUAGUUGUUUUUUUAUAAGCAAUUUCUAAAUACUCGCACACGACGUAGCAAACUAUAUAAUUUAUCAUUGCAAAAGUAUUCGAUGCUAAAAUCGUAAUUGCGUCGAAAAUUCUUCUGCUUUUUGUUUUACUUCUCCGUGAAUUAAUUCUCACUUACUUUGUGGUAAAGAAAAUUUUCACUAAUCUGUAUAUUUUUCAUGUUAAGAUUUUUUUUAAGUUAUAGUCAUUAUUUUAUUGCAAUUGCAAUAUAUUAACUAAGUAUCUAUCAAACGUUAAAAUUUUUUAUAUAUAAUAAAAUGUCCCUCUAUAUUUUUUUAAAUUUUGUAUACCAUAAAUAGGGAAUUUGAAGUUAUAAAAAAGUUAAUAAUUUAAAUAUAUGUUUAUUUUAAACGUGCAAUAUUUACUAUAUUGUUUAAGUAUAUAUUUCUUAUUAUAACUUCUUCUGUAAUUUUAAAGUUUUUAAUUUAGUAAUUAGAAAAACUUAAAUCACGAAAACUAUACACAUUACAUAUUAAACGAUCACAGUACGAAAACACAAAUAAAUGUUCAAAUAAUAAUAAAGUAAUUAUUCAAGCGAA